GAGGGGGAGGGGAUCAUCACACACAUGCUGCUCACAUUUGGCAGAAAAGGGAUCAAACCAUCAACUUGCAUCCUCACCGCAUGUAGCCGCCCAGCUCGCUGCUAUGCUGUGUGCCCAUGCAUCACCGUGACCACCCUGCCUGCACCCGCUGUUAAACUAUUCCUGGGAGAGCUCACCUGCGAGUGGAGGGCUCCUUUGAGAAGAAAAGAGUGCAGAGAGAGUAAUGGAAAAACAAGUUCCACCCCCCUUAACAGUUGGAAGUGACCAGAGAAUGGUCUGAAAAGAGAAAAUAUCUAGUGAGCCUUGAUGCCUUGUUCAUGCCAGAAGUCAGAGGAGAAUGGAGACUGGUUUAACAGUAACUCAAAUAAUCACCUGUUACAACAAGGGAUGCAGAUGGUCAUCUGUGAACACACAACACAUCCAGCAGAUGGACUACAGCAGCAGAAGACCACACUGCCAUUUUAUUAGGUACAUCUUGCUAGCUAAAUAAGUGACCGAUGAGUGUGUAUAUGUAUGUACAUCAUUAAAUUAAUCAACUCUA